GCCUCGGUAGCUCGGUGGUUAGCGCAUCCAGCUAGCAACCCGGGGCUCGCGGGUUCAAACGUCCGCCAUGGACG